rnacentral:pre_miRNA from 1 species
UGGACAGAUUAUUGUAUUCGACUGUAUUCACGGCGUGAAACAGGGGAUUACACUGUUUUUAAACGGAAAGUAAAUCAAUUAACAUAAUAGACUCCU